rnacentral:lncRNA from 1 species
GGGUGCUUCGAGAGCUUUGGAUAUGGCGAGGGGGCCGAGAGAGAGGGAAGCAGAGGGGAGAGAGGGGAGAGAGGCUGAGAGAGAGAGGUUUGAGCCGUUGUGGGAGAGUUUCAAGAACUUUGGAUCUGGUGACAAGGAUCGAGAGAGAGAGGGAUAGAGAGAGGGAGAGAGAGAGGAGGGAGAUAGAUUCACUCGGCUGGGGACCUCGUUGUCGUAUGGCAACUUGACAUAGACUGAGGGCUUUGGGGAUUAGGGCUUUGAAACCGAGCGAGGGGAGAAGCUUCAAGCGAGGAAGGGGUGAAGCCUUUAUAUCCCAAACCGACCGGUUGAAUUGUGCUGGAAACCGACCAGUCCAGUUCGGUAUGGCCCGAACCAGCAGGUUUGGCUCGAUUUGGCUAACCUUAGCCUAUAUGUUUGAAAAGGUGUACAAGAUAGGAAAAAUGUCUUAAGAACUUGGUAAUGUUCUAUCGCAAUAAUUCUAGGAGUAUUUGAUGCAAUGAUGAUAGAAAUUCACGCAUUCAUGAGAAACUGUAGGCGAUUUGGUGGUUUAAGGAAUAAAGAAGUGAGUUGACAAUAAUCCAUCGCAUAUAACUUGCAAGUUUGGCAAAUAGAAUAAUUUUAAUUUUCCUAACUACUGAUUUUGAUAAAGAGAAUAGACAAUUGUUUCCAACCUUUGAUGUUGAGAUAUCAAGUGAAUAUAUGUCUUGAGUGGAGAGCAAGGAUAAUUUAUCGUAGAUGCACUUUCAUUGUUUUUUAACUUUGACAAGGAUUAAGAACAAGGAACAGAAAAAAACAAAGAGUGAAGGAUGCGAAGGAUACACAUGAAACAGUAUGACUAUUUUAUGGUAUGCAAGAUGGUCUUUCUUUGUGUCUAUGAUAUAUGCUAAGAUUAAGAAUACCCUUAGCCCACAGCAUGUAUUGAGUCAUGUAUCGGAUAAGUAACAAAAGAAGCAAAAGCAAUUAAAAAAAUAAAGGAGUUGUGGAAGCAAAUGAAGAUAGAGGUAAAAGGAUUGGAAGAUAUUAUUGAUAGGUGUAGAAGGGAAAACUAGGAUUUCUUGCACUUUGUACCUAUUAGACCUUUGGGCCUUGCACUUGUGGUUUUCACAGGGCUGCUAUAGAGAAAUGCUGACCUUUAUCUCAUCAUGCUCAAUGAGAUCCUGCAAUGUCUUGGCUAACAAGAAUUUGAGAGAAUUCUCAAAGGGAUUAAUAUUCAUCUCUCUAUAAAAAAACUCAAGACUACGGAGGUAUUUAUAAUGUUUAGGGGCUUUGUAACAAUUAGCAUUUGGGACCUCAUGUAUUUGUCUAGAAUUAUAAAAAGUAACAACAAAAAAACUUAAAUGAAACAAACUUGCAGACUAAGUCCUCAUGGUGGUCUUGAGAAUUGGACGGUAGGUUGCUAUAGUUGGGAGUCAAAAUCCUCCAACUAGGUUUCAGUUGAUUUAUGCAUGAAUGCUUGCAGAACUGCUAAAUGAAUUCUUGGAAUUCCAUAGAUUUCAUUUUAUAUUCUGCCAGUGGCGGUGGAUUAUGUAAAUAAAGAAUGUGAUAGUAGAGUAUGCAGGUAGAUGGAGAAUCUUGAACCUUUAAACCAUGCAUGUGGUAGAAGAGUUUUUAUUUACACAAGUCAUCUGCAUUGGAUGGUUGGACAUGCUUUAGUGAUGCUAAUUAUAAAUUUAUAUAGUAAGUGAUCAUAGUGCUUGCGGCAUGCGGCCAUGAACUCUUCUGGUGGACCUUAUAAUUGUUAUGUUUUCCUUGUAAUAUAUGCUGUAACGUUG